AGGAAUUUUGGACAAUGGGGGAAACCCUGAUCCAGCGACGCCACGUGAGGGACGACGGUCUUCGGAUUGUAAACCUCUUUUGUUGGGGAAUAACAGACCCGUGGAAACACGGGGCUUGAAUGUACCCGACGAAUAAGCCACGGCUAACUUCGUGCCAGCAGCCGCGGUAAUACGAAGGUGGCAAGCGUUACUCGGAAUUACUAGGCGUAAAGGGCAGGUAGGUGGUUUGAUAAGUCUGUUGUGAAAGCUCCCGGCUCAACUGGGAGAGGCCAACAGAAACUAUCAGGCUUGAGUAUGGGAGAGGGUACUGGAAUUCCUGGUGUAGCGGUGAAAUGCGCAGAUAUCAGGAGGAACACCGAUGGCGAAAGCAGGUACCUGGACCAUUACUGACACUCAGCUGCGAAAGCUAGGGGAGCAAAC
rnacentral:rRNA from 1 species